rnacentral:tRNA from 1 species
GAGGGCAGAGCUCAGUGGUAGAGUGCAUGCUUAGCAUGCAUGAGGUCCUGGGUUCAAUCCCGCAUACCUCCG